rnacentral:rRNA from 1 species
GACAGAGGUGCCGAGCGUUAGGCGGAAUCACUGGGCUUAAAGCGCGUGUAGGUGGCGGCCUAAGUACCUUGUGAAAUCCUGCGGCUCAACCGCAGAACUGCUUGGUAUACUGGGUCGCUUGAGUCAUCCAGGGGCAACUGGAACAAGCGGUGGAGCGGUGAAAUGCGUAGAUAUCGCUUGGAACGCCAAAGGUGAAAACAGGUUGCUGGGGAUGUUCUGACACUGAGACGCGAAAAGCCAGGGGAGCGAACGGG